GACAGAGGGUGCAAACGUUGUUCGGAAUUACUGGGCGUAAAGCGCGUGUAGGCUGCUCAGAAAGUCGGAUGUGAAAGCCCUGGGCUUAACCUAGGAAGAGCAUUCGAAACUUCUGAGCUUGAGUUCUGGAGAGGAAGGCGGAAUUCUCGGUGUAGAGGUGAAAUUCGUAGAUAUCGAGAGGAACACCGGUGGCGAAGGCGGCCUUCUGGACAGUGACUGACGCUGAGACGCGAAAGCGUGGGGAGCAAACAGG
rnacentral:rRNA from 1 species